rnacentral:rRNA from 1 species
AGUGAACGCUGGCGGUGGGCCUAACACAUGCAAGUCGAACGGCAGCACAGUAAGAGCUUGCUCUUACGGGUGGCGAGUGGCGGACGGGUGAGGAAUACAUCGGAAUCUACUUUUUCGUGGGGGAUAACGUAGGGAAACUUACGCUAAUACCGCAUACGACCUACGGGUGAAAGCAGGGGAUCUUCGGACCUUGCGCGAUUGAAUGAGCCGAUGUCGGAUUAGCUAGUUGGCGGGGUAAAGGCCCACCAAGGCGACGAUCCGUAGCUGGUCUGAGAGGAUGAUCAGCCACACUGGAACUGAGACACGGUCCAGACUCCUACGGGAGGCAGCAGUGGGGAAUAUUGGACAAUGGGCGCAAGCCUGAUCCAGCCAUACCGCGUGGGUGAAGAAGGCCUUCGGGUUGUAGAGCCCUUUUGUUGGGAAAGAAAAGCAGCAGGUUAAUACCCCGCUGUUCUGACGGUACCCAAAGAAUAAGCACCGGCUAACUUCGUG